GCGCCCGUAGCUCAGUGGAUAGAGUACUGGCCUCCGAAGCCAGGGGUCGCUGGUUCGAUCCCAGCCGGGCGCG
rnacentral:tRNA from 1 species